AUUGGGUUUAAAGCGCGCGUAGGUGGUUCAGUAAGUUAGGAGUGAAAGCCCCGGGCUUAACCUGGGAAUUGCUUCUAAAACUGCUGAGCUAGAGUACGGUAGAGGGUGGUGGAAUUUCCUGUGUAGCGGUGAAAUGCGUAGAUAUAGGAAGGAACAUCAGUGGCGAAGGCGACCACCUGGACUGAUACUGACACUGAGGUGCGAAAGCGUGGGGAGCAAACAGGAUUAGAUACCCCAGUA
rnacentral:rRNA from 1 species